rnacentral:rRNA from 1 species
GAGCGUGACGGCGCGAGCAGGUGCGAAAGCAGGUCAUAGUGAUCCGGUGGUUCUGAAUGGAAGGGCCAUCGCUCAACGGAUAAAAGGUACUCCGGGGAUAACAGGCUGAUACCGCCCAAGAGUUCAUAUCGACGGCGGUGUUUGGCACCUCGAUGUCGGCUCAUCACAUCCUGGGGCUGAAGUAGGUCCCAAGGGUAUGGCUGUUCGCCAUUUAAAGUGGUACGCGAGCUGGGUUUAGAACGUCGUGAGACAGUUCGGUCCCUAUCUGCCGUGGGCGCUGGAGAACUGAGGGGGGCUGCUCCUAGUACGAGAGGACCGGAGUGGACGCAUCACUGGUGUUCGGGUUGUCAUGCCAAUGGCACUGCCCGGUAGCUAAAUGCGGAAGAGAUAAGUGCUGAAAGCAUCUAAGCACGAAACUUGCCCCGAGAUGAGUUCUCCCUGACUCCUUGAGAGUCCUGAAGGAACGUUGAAGACGACGACGUUGAUAGGCCGGGUGUGUAAGCGCAGCGAUGCGUUGAGCUAACCGGUACUAAUGAACCGUGAGG